GUUUACUCUGGUACGCCGCUGCUUACCAAUCUGCCGGCCCCGGCGCUGAAAAUUACCAUAGUCAGAAAACGAAUCAGGAAUUGGGUCUUUCUGCUGCUCAAUUGGACAAACUACCGAAAAUUACAGGGAAUGAAUUGUUAAUGGGUAACGAUUGUGCGGUGUGUUUGGAUGAAAUUGAGAAUGAGCAAAUUGCUCGAGUUGUUCCGGGUUGUAACCAUGGAUUUCACCUUGAAUGUGCUGAUACUUGGCUUUCAAAAAAUCCGAUUUGUCCAGUUUGUAGAACUAAACUGGAGCCGGAGUUCUUCAAUCCACCUGAAAGUAACCCAUGUUGAAGAUAUUCCUAAUUACAAUUAUUUCAAACUUUAUUUUUAUUAAUGUUCGAUAGAUUAUAGGAGUAGUUUGAUAUGAUUGGUGUUGAAUUUUUUUUUU
rnacentral:misc_RNA from 1 species